AUCGAGAUUGGAUGUACAAGAGAU
rnacentral:siRNA from 1 species